UCGGCAAAGGCAAAAUCUACAUCGAAGACCAAAGAGUUUACUUCAUAGCUGCAUAGAGCCAUAAAUUGCCACAGCAGAGCUUGCGUACUCCCAAAAAUCGCGUUCUUCUGUUAGCGUGGUGAUUUACAUGCCUCAUACACUAAAUUUAUUAGUUUCAAUUUGUAGUGAUUAUUCCGCAACAUAGGUACUACCAACUGUCUAUGUAUCAGUUUGACACCAAACAAGAUUAUCUCUUCAAAAAAUGGGAUUAUGAUUCAAUUGCUGAAGGUGAUGGACGCCUCAAUAAAAGUUGUUUACCCCUUCGGAGGACUUUUUUGUUGAGAGGACAAAAGCGAAGCAAUAGGCGUGGCUGGCCUCUUAUCAGGCAGAGUUGCUUUUCAUUGCGAGGAGAUAAUCUUGGGUUCAUGAAGUCAGACGCUUUCAGGUAGCAGGAAAAACAUAAAUCGCCAAUACCAAGUUAACGUCCAGGAGAGAUUACUAAUGGUUGCUGCAGCGUGCAUGAACUCGACUUGAUGGCAACUCUGUCAGUAAUUC